rnacentral:rRNA from 1 species
GACGAACGCUGGCGGCGCGCCUAACACAUGCAAGUCGAACGAAGCACAUCGACAGAAGUACUUGUACGGAAGAUGAUGUGACUUAGUGGCGGACGGGUGAGUAACACGUGAGCAACCUACCUUUGUGAGGGGGAUAAUAUCGGGAAACUGGUACUAAUACCGCAUAAUAUAUGGAGAUGACAUCAUCACCAUAUCAAAGAUUUAUCGCACAAAGAUGGGCUCGCGCCUGAUUAGAUAGUUGGUGAGGUAAUGGCUCACCAAGUCGACGAUCAGUAGCCGGACUGAGAGGUUGAACGGCCACAUUGGGACUGAGACACGGCCCAGACUCCUACGGGAGGCAGCAGUGGGGGAUAUUGCACAAUGGAGGAAACUCUGAUGCAGCGACGCCGCGUGAGGGAAGACGGUUUUCGGAUUGUAAACCUCUGUCUUCAGGGACGAAACAAAUGACGGUACCUGAAGAGGAAGCCACGGCUAACUACGUG